UACGAAGGGGGCUAGCGUUGUUCGGAAUCACUGGGCGUAAAGGGCUCGUAGGCGGCCCACUAAGUCAGACGUGAAAUCCCUAGGCUCAACCUAGGAACUGCGUCUGAUACUGGAUGGCUUGAAUCCGGGAGAGGGAUGCAGAAUUCCAGGUGUAGCGGUGAAAUGCGUAGAUAUCUGGAGGAAUACCGGUGGCGAAGGCGGCAUCCUGGACCGGCAUUGACGCUGAGGAGCGAAAGCCAGGGGAGCAAACGGG
rnacentral:rRNA from 1 species